AGUGAACGCUGGCGGUAGGCCUAACACAUGCAAGUCGAACGGCAGCACAGUAAGAGCUUGCUCUUACGGGUGGCGAGUGGCGGACGGGUGAGGAAUACAUCGGAACCUACUUUUUCGUGGGGGAUAACGUAGGGAAACUUACGCUAAUACCGCAUACGACCUACGGGUGAAAGCAGGGGAACUUCGGACCUUGCGCGAUUGAAUGAGCCGAUGUCGGAUUAGCUAGUUGGCGGGGUAAAGGCCCACCAAGGCGACGAUCCGUAGCUGGUCUGAGAGGAUGAUCGGCCACACUGGAACUGAGACACGGUCCAGACUCCUACGGGAGGCAGCAGUGGGGAAUAUUGGGCAAUGGGCGCAAGCCUGAUCCAGCCAUACCGCGUGGGUGAAGAAGGCCUUCGGGUUGUAAAGCCCUUUUGUUGGGAAAGAAAAGCAGCAGGUUAAUACCCCGCUGUUCUGACGGUACCCAAAGAAUAAGCACCGGCUAACUUCGUG
rnacentral:rRNA from 1 species